rnacentral:rRNA from 1 species
UACAGAGGGUGCGACCGUUGUUCGGAUUUAUUGGGCGUAAAGAGCGUGUAGGCGGUUUGGUAGGUCCGUUGUGAAAACUCGAGGCUCAACCUCGAGACGCCGAUGGAAACCAUCAGACUAGAGUCCGGAAGAGGAGAGUGGAAUUCCUGGUGUAGCGGUGAAAUGCGCAGAUAUCAGGAAGAACACCCGUGGCUAAGGCGGCUCUCUAGUACGGUACUGACGCUGAGACGCGAAAGCGUGGGGAGCGAACAGG